ensembl:ncRNA lncRNA:CR43753 long non-coding RNA:CR43753
UUAUUAGAUAUGCUCUAAGUUCACACGAAGCGAAAACUUCCCUCUCUUAGUAUUCACCUCGCUCUUUGCGUGGGAAAUUUGGUGACAAGUCCUUGUCGUCCUUCCACACCCGGAUCCAAUCAAGAAAUUCCCCCCGGAUAGCACGGCGAUCCCAGAGAAGGUAAACACUUUAAGGUGUCAUAUGUAGCUAAUGUGGCUGGCAAAAGUUGGUGCGAUCUGCACGAAAAUGAAAUGGAGACCUCGCCUGAAUGGAGGUGACCACAGCAGGAUAUCGCAUGUGUUGGCAGGACAUAAAUUCAAAUUUGUAACACAACUUGUUUCGGACAAUGGAACUGAAAGUGGCGGUAGUGCGAGCGGAAAAAUUGAAAUUAAAAACUUGUGCUGUUCGAGAGUAUGACAAUAACAAGGCACCCACAUCAAGCAUUUGUCCUGUCGGCAUUUGCCUUUCACUCCAUCUCCAUUUGCCCCUGUCUAUGUGUGUGAGUACAAAUGUCCGUUGUGCAUAUGUGUGCGCCGCCAUUGCUGUAUGAAUAUUCGUGUGGCACUCGCUCGUUUAUUUGCUCGCAUUACAAUUACCAAAGGACCAAAAGGACCUAGACGCCCGUACACGUACGCAAUUUGUUUGCACACCUCCACCUCCAAGGGAACAGGACAUAGGACACAGGACACAACAGGAUGCAGGAGCAGCAGCAGGACUAGUGUUAGUUUGCCCAGUUACACAAACAAAUUAAUUUCGGCCAGACAUUCGAAAUGUUUAGCACAUUGGGCAACGUUUGUAAUUGAAUAUCGUUGGGGGACUCGACGAAAAUUUCACAGCCGAAACACCAGUCAGUGGGUCAAAUUAUGCAAAACUAAUUAUGAUUAUGCGAUGAGCAUCGCAUUGUCAAUGGGCACGCCCACUCGAAAUCGAGGCCAGGGUGUCACAAUAAUGCGUCAAAUGACGCGUGGCCAUCGCCAUUCACUAGAGAAUUCCAUUACAUGGAUAAAAAUAUUCAAAUAACAUGAAAAACACGAAAAUGCUAAAUGUGUUAUUAGAGCCAGCUAAUUGGUGUUGUAUCAAAUUAUUGAUGACACUGAAUGAUGAUGACCGAAGCAUCAGGAUUCUAAAGAGUAACCUCUGCCGUAAUAACGAAAAUUGACAGCCUGUAUUAUGCAAAAUGAGACUGGUUAAUAAUUUUCCAGUUUGAAAUUAUUUCACAAACUUUGUUGACUUGAUCAAUAAAAGAGAUGGGCAGACAACCUAGAAAUAACGAACAUAAUGCCAACU